rnacentral:rRNA from 1 species
ACUCCGUGAAGCUGGAUUCGCUAGUAAUCGCGCAUCAGCCAUGGCGCGGUGAAUACGUUCCCGGGCCUUGUACACACCGCCCGUCAAGCCAUGGAAGCCGGGGGUGCCUGAAGUGUGCAGCCGCAAGGAGCGCCCUAAGGUAAAACCGGUGACUGGGGCUAAGUCGUAACAAGGUACC